UACGUAGGGGGCGAGCGUUGUCCGAAGUUACUGGGCGUAAAGCGCGCGUAGGCGGGGGAUUAAGUGAGAGGUGAAAGGCUGGGGCUCAACCUCAUGCAGUGCCUCUCAUACUGGUCCUCUUGAGGGCGGUAGGGAGAAGUGGAAUGGCUGGUGUAGCGGUGAAAUGCGCAGAUAUCAGGAGGAACACCGGUGGCGAAGGCGGUUCUCUGGGAAUGUCCUGACGCUGAGGAGCGAAAGUGUGGGGAGCGAACAGG
rnacentral:rRNA from 1 species